AAAUUGAAGAGUUUGAUCAUGGCUCAGAUUGAACGCUGGCGGCAGGCCUAACACAUGCAAGUCGAGCGGAAACGAGUUAUCWGAACCUUCGGGGAACGAUAACGGCGUCGAGCGGCGGACGGGUGAGUAAUGCCUAGGAAAUUGCCCUGAUGWGGGGGAUAACCAUUGGAAACGAUGGCUAAUACCGCAUGAUGCCUACGGGCCAAAGAGGGGGACCUUCGGGCCUCUCGCGUCAGGAUAUGCC
rnacentral:rRNA from 1 species